UACGUAGGGCGCGAGCGUUGUCCGGAAUUAUUGGGCGUAAAGAGCUCGUAGGCGGCCAACUAAGUCGGACGUGAAAUCCCUCGGCUUAACCGGGGAACUGCGUCCGAUACUGGAUGGCUUGAGUUCGGGAGAGGGAUGCGGAAUUCCAGGUGUAGCGGUGAAAUGCGUAGAUAUCGAGAGGAACACCUGCGGCGAAGGCGGGUUGCUGGGCUGACACUGACGCUGAUGCGCGAAAGCCAGGGGAGCGAACGGG
rnacentral:rRNA from 1 species